CACACGACUCUCGGCAACGGAUAUCUCGGCUCUCGCAUCGAUGAAGAACGUAGCGAAAUGCGAUACCUGGUGUGAAUUGCAGAAUCCCGCGAACCAUCGAGUCUUUGAACGCAAGUAGCGCCCGAGGCCACCCGGCCGAGGGCACGCCUGCCUGGGCGUCACGC
rnacentral:rRNA from 1 species